UCCAGACUCCUACGGGAGGCAGCAGUGCGGAAUAUUGGUCCAUGGCCGAGAGGCUGCACCAGCCACGUCGCUUGAGGGACGCCGGCCCUACGGGUUGUCCACCUCUUUUGUCUUGGAGCAAAGCGCCCCACGUGUUUUUCCUUGAGAGUCCCCUCCGAAAAAGCCUCGUCUAACUCCUUUCCCGCAGCCGCUGUCCUCCGGAGGAUGCGCUCGUUAUCCGGAUUUAUUGGGUUUAAAGGGUGCGCAGGCGGAGGUGCAAGUCAGGGGUCAAAUUGCGGGGCUCAACCCCGUACUGCCGUUGAAACUGCAUCCCUUGAGUGCGCGAGAAGUAUGCGGAAUGCGUGGUGUAGCGGUGAAAUGCAUAGAGAGCAAGCAGAACUCCGAUUGCGAAGGCAGCAUACCGGCGCCCGACUGACGCUGAGGCACGAAGGCGUGGGGAUCGAACAGGAUUAGAUACCCCCGUA
rnacentral:rRNA from 1 species